CUCGUGCAGAUCGGGACAGAUGUAGUGCACGUGCGCGUCGAUCGCACCGGCCGUGACGAUGUACUUUUCGCCCGCGAUGACUUCGGUACACGAGCCGACGACGAGGUUGGGGUCGACGCCGUCCAUGAUAGCCGGGUUGCCUGCUUUGCCGAUUCCCACAAUGUGCCCGUUCCUGAUACCAAUGUCCGCCUUGACGAUGCCCCACCAGUCCACAAUCAGCGCAUUGAUGAUCACCACGUCGAGUACGGCGCUGUCAGCCCGACCGGACGCUUGGCCCAUGCCAUCGCGCAG
rnacentral:sRNA from 1 species